GCCUCGAUAGCUCAGCUGGUUAAAGUGUGGUGCUAAUAAUGCCAAGCUUGCAGGAUCGAUCCCUGUAUUGGACA